GAACUUAAAAUCUACUUUAUGCUUAGAUACAAUUUGGAGAUUUUUCCUGGGACUUGUCGGUGCCACUCGGAGCUUGGUUCCGAGGUGAUUCGGUGAAGGUUGAUCGAGGUGAAAGGUCACACAGAUUCAAUUCCUUAGGUCUCUCAAUUCCACACCCUCCACGCUGGUGCAGCAAUCUUGCUCGAUUCUCAUCAACAACGUUGUCUGUCUAAGCAUCCCCUAAGUCUCAAAUCCCCUGUCUGAAUUGAUCAGAUUUAUUCAGUCAUGCAUUGUGAAGCGGCAGACCACUCAUGGCGGUGGAAAACUUCUAGUGAGGCAUACGGGAACCAUUGGUCACAAGUUGGCAAGGAGGUGCACAAGGAGAAUUAUAUUCACCAAAGAUGUGCCGAAAAGCUGUGUGCUCUUGCAAAUGAGCUGUAUGAUACAAGAGCGUGCUUGGAGCUGGCCAGAGUUUCAGGUGCAAAAGUUCCGCGAUUACGCAGUGCAGGUGGUAGAAUUAAACUCUUCACAUAGCUCCUAAAAAGUAGCAACUCAAUCUUGGAGGCUGUUAAUUGUUCCUAUUUCCAGGUGCACCAUACGACUCCGGACGGUAUUUUGCGGGUUCCCCAAAGAUCGGUGACUGUGACUGCAAAAAUAAGCCUUCCUUGGGUUGUGGAAACCCUUUUCGCACAGUGAAUGAGAGAGAAUACAACGGUGGCCACCGACAUCAUCGUCAGCUCUUAGACGAUCACAUAAAAAUGUGUCAUCCUCGACUCGUGAAGCGUUUGCAGCCAAAACUUCCGUUAAGUUCUACAAAGGAAAAGAAGUGAAGCGGUGGUUUGAGUACUUCUUACGGUGACAGACACGACAAAACAAAUAUCUCCAGGCAAAAAAAUUCCAGGUCAUCCUGGACUGAAGCUUCAGAAGGAUUAGCUACCGCGAGGUCAUAACUUUGGUCUGCUACCAAUUGAUCAAGUACUGAAGAAGCUAAAAUUCUGUAUGCUGCACUGAAUUAAAUGCAAUUCAAUCCAUUAAGAGUUAAGCCACUUACACCACUGCAGAACAAAGCUUAUCUUCGAACAUAAUUUCCUCAACAGUGUUAAACAAUUAUUGUUGGAUCCAUCCGCUGCUUAGACCUGUAUUCUUCCAGUCACCACUUUGAUUCAUCUGCGAGGGUGGUAUAACCCAAUUCCAUUGAAUUAGUAUGAUUUUACGAAAACUACGCGAACUCCUGAAUAAAAUAAAACACAUCUCAGAAUCAGAUUAUGUCAGGUCUUCAUCGAUGGCACAGUAACUAGUCCUAUUCAUGUUAGAGGUCUAUCUAUAGAUGAGCAAACAAAGUGUUGAUCAAUCUCAUCAAAUAACAUCCAUUUGUUGCACCUGCUAUUUCACCUCACUAUACAUGUUGCAGCAGUUACCUCAGCAAGAAGCAUGAAUGUUGCAUACGAAUGUUCGAGCAACAAGUUUAGGGGGAAGCAGCUGUUCACGACGUCUUCUGACACUAUGUCUGUAGGCCAUCUCACCAGUGUAGCUAGGGUCAGGUAAAGAUUGACCAGUUCAUCUUUGGGAUGAUUAUCUACACGUAGAUACCUAUGCAUGAACCCUCUCAACACGUUUAAGAAAGCUGAUACUGGAAUUCUCUCCACAUUUGCAUCUUC